rnacentral:lncRNA from 1 species
UCUCUCUAAAUUCAAGCAACUGAACAAAACAUAAAAGAUCGACAGCAACUCUGAGAUCGGAGAAGAACAUAUCGGAGAAACUUACUGCAACUGCAAGAUCUAUAACCAGAAAGUGAUGAACUGCAGAUCGAAGAAGAACAUAAAAGAUCGACAUCAACUUCAAGAUCUAUAACCAGAAACUUACUGCAACUGCACUGAUUGUUGAUCGUACUGCACUGAUUGUUGAUUUAUUACAAAUUUGUAUACUAAGGUAUUUGAGUUUUCAAUUUAUAUGCAUAGUUUUACCCCGUGUUUACUACGUAUUCGUUAAUUGGUUACUUUUCUCAAAUUUUUCGCUCUUUAAAUGGUCACAAAGUCAGAAUAAUUAUGAAUGUUUUGAAUGCAAAAUGCAUUUUAAAAUAUUUUAUACCCUGGUUACUAAAUACAUAUAAAUUGGUUACUGUUUAUUAUUGAUUUGGUUACUGUUUAUUAUUGAUUUGAUUACUGUAUAAUGUUUAUAUGCUUGUUUUAUAAUUUUAAAGUUUAUCCUACUGAUGUUUUUUAUAUUAAUGAUUACUUAUUAAAUACAUUGGUUACCUUCCUGCAACUGUUGGUUACUGUCUAAUCUGAAUUUGGUUAGUAUAUAAUGCUGACUUGGUUACUGUGUAAAAUUGCAAUGGUUACUGCAUAAUAUUAUCCCCAGUUCAUGAUCUGGUUACUAACAUUAUGUAGUUUGGUUACUGUCUGACAUUGAGUUGGUUACUUUACAGACCAUAAACUAACAGUAACCAAAAACAUACUAAAAAGUUGCUUCAUCUGAUAUAUUGGUUACUGUCUAAUAUGUAUUUAGAUACUGUAAGAUGUUUAUUUGGUUGUUGUAUACUUUAAAUAUUUAUUUGGUUACCCCGUGGUUACUAUAUACUCGUAUAUUGGUUACCUUUCUUAAGUUUUUCGCUCUUUGAUUGGUCACAAAGUCAGUAUACUGUCUAUUUAGAUUGCAAACUGAAUGUAAAAAUAUGUUUUAUAUUCUGGUUACUAAGUACAUAGAACUUGGUUACUGUUUAUUAUUGAUUUGGUUACUAUAUAAUGUUUAUUUGGUUGUUGUAUACUUUAAAUGUUUAUUCUACUGAUGUUUUUUAUAUUGAUGGUUACUUAUUAAAUACAUUGGUUACCUUUCUGCAACUGUUGGAUCUUUAAGUACAUAUAAAUUUGGUUACUGUAUAAUGUUACUUCUAAGUACAUAUACAUUGAUGGUUACUUAUUAAAUACAUUGGUUACUUAUACUGACUGACUAAUCUAAAUUUGGUUACUGUAUAAUGUUCUUAUGAUUACUGUAUAACAUUAGUGUGUUUUAUACUGAUUUUUUUUAUAUUGAUGGUUAAUUAUUGACUACAUUGGUUAACUUCAUACAACUGUUAGUCUUUAGUUGGUAACAAAUUCAUUACUGAUUGUUUUGGUUGUAAAAUGAAUGUAAAAAUAUUUUUUAUAAUCUUGGCUACUAAUUACAUAUAUCUUGGUUACUGUAUAAUAUGUAUUUAGAUACUGUAAGGUGUUUAUUUGGUUACUAUAUAAUGUUAUUGUGUUUUAUAAUUGUUUCUUUUAUAUUGGUGGUUACUUAUUGACUACAUUGGUUACCUUCAUACAACUGUUAAUCUGAUUAUAUAUAUUAAUUGUUGUAUACUAUUUAAUUGGUUACAGUAUAAUGUGUAUCUGGUUGCAGUAACAAUUUGGCAAUUUCUGUCAAGUUUGGAGUGUCAGAUUUUGGCGUUUUCGGAGCCUAAUUUCAUUGAAAACGGGUCAACGAUAACUUGACAGUAAUCAAUUAUUUAGUCAUGUUAGACAGAUGUUGGAGUGUCUCGACAAGUUACAUGUGUAUUUGGUUACAUGGAUUCAUUACAUAUGCACCAGGCAAGUUAGGAUUAUCACCCUUAUUUAUGUUUCUCUAUCUUUUUUCGCAUACAAUUCACGUCAUCCUCUUCGAUUCGUUGUCGGAUUCACAACCAGUUUGCAUAGUCUAAAAGUCCUUUAUUUUUUUGAUUAUUUUUUAAUUUAUUUUUGCUGCACUUGUUGAUUUACAGGUUGUUCAAGUUAGUGAGAAUAANNNNNNNNNNNNNNNNNNNNNNNNNNNNNNNNNNNNNNNNNNNNNNNNNNNNNNNNNNNNNNNNNNNNNNNNNNNNNNNNNNNNNNNNNNNNNNNNNNNNAUAUGCGAAAAAGGAGAGAGAAACAUAAAUAAGGGUGAUAAUCCUAACUUGCCUGGUGCAUAUGUAAUGAAUCCAUGUAACAUGCAGUGUGAGGAUCAAAUUUAUUGCCUUCAUCCAUGGACAGAAAGCAGAAGUGGAGAAGAUGAAACCAUUAACGAGAAUAGAGUUUUCA